GCGGGUGUGGCGGAAUUGGCAGACGCACCAGACUUAGGAUCUGGCGCCUUUGGCGUGGGGGUUCGAGUCCCUUCACCCGCA
rnacentral:tRNA from 2 species